GAUUGCGGACGACCGCCAUGCCGGGAUUGUAUCGUUGCGGGGACGACCCCG
rnacentral:ncRNA from 1 species